AUGGCAGGAUCACAAGCCGAUGAGACUGAUUGGGAGAACAUGACGAACAAGGAGUUGCAUGAUAAAUUUCAGCAAAUGAUGAGUGGCCAGGUGGGAGAUGUGCUAAACAGAUUUGAAGAGGCUAUGGAGAAGAUAGAUGCCUUGGAGAAGUCGUUCGAGACAAAGCUGGAUAACAAGUUUACUGAAUUACUCAAGCGUCUUCCCCAACCACCACCGGCUGCACAUAUCGCACCUCUACAACAACAACAACCACAUCUCCAACGCCGCCUUCCAAAUCAAGUGGGACGAGCACAACGCGUUCCAAUUGAGACUGGUCAAAAUUCGGGUGCCGCUGCACCUACUGUUGAUGCUUCUUUGGCUCCUGCUACUGCGGUGGCUGAGGAGGAUGACGAUUAUGCGGGCGAUUAUGAGGCUGAGGUUGAUCAAAAUCAGAACUACGUGCAGCCACCAGCACCACCACCAGCAGGUCGACCUCAGGUAUAUAUUCGCAACGGUAGGCCGGCACCACCACCUCAGGUACGAGAUCAUGACCAUCUCCCUAAACUGAAAUUGAAUAUUCCACCAUUUGAGGGUAGAUAUGUUCCUGAUAUAUAUCUUACUUGGGAGUUAGAAACUGAACAACGAUUUACAUGUUUACAAUAUCCUGAGGAGAGACGUGUUCCUGCUGCUGUUUGUGCUUUCACUAGCUUUGCAUGUGUUUGGUGGUCUGAACAUUGUAGAUUAUAUCCUGUUCCAGCUACUUGGGCUGCUUUGAAAACUGCUAUGCGUACUCGUUGGGUUCCACCAUAUUAUCAACGUGAAUUACUUCAAAAAUUGCAGCGCUUAAGACAAGGGAAAAAUUCUGUAGAAGAAUAUUAUCAGGAAUUACAAACUGGCAUGAUUCGAUGUGGUAUUGUUGAGGAGAAUGAAGCUAUGCUUGCACGUUUUAUGGGUGGAUUAAAUAAAGAGAUUCAGACCAUUCUAGAGUAUAAGGAUUAUAAUAAUAUCACUCGUUUAUUCCAUCUUGCUUGUAAAGCUGAACGUGAAGUGCAGGAUCGACAGCCAUUGGCGCGAACUAACUUUUCUGCAGGUCGACCUUCAUCAUGGACACCGCGUGCAUCUUCUACUUCCACUGCACCAGCACCUCCAUCAGGUUCCACCUCCAGCCGUGAUACAAGAAAGCAGGCACAACCAUCACUAUCUGCCAAGAUUGCACCUGCCGGGCCUGCACAGAGCUCUUCUUCUUCCAUGGCAUCGACAGGGCACACAAGUGAUAUUAUUUGUCGUCGUUGUAAGGGAAGAGGACAUUAUGCGAGAGAAUGCAAAUCUCAGCGUGUAAUGAUUGCUACUGAGGAUGGUGGGUAUGAGUCCGCUAGUGACUAUGAUGAGGAGACUUUGGCUCUUAUUACACGUGAAGAACAUGGUGAAGAUGAUUCUGAAAAUGAGACGCAAUACAUGGCUCCUGAAGACGCUGACAGGUAUGAAUGUUUAGUUGCUCAACGUGUUUUGAGUGUGCAGGUCACACAAGCAGAGCAAAAUCAGAGACAUAAUUUGUUCCAUACAAAGGGAGUUGUGAAGGAACGUUCUGUUCGCGUCAUCAUAGAUGGAGGGAGCUGUAACAACUUGGCUAGCAUGGAGAUGGUGGAGAAGCUAUCUCUCACCACAAGACCACAUCCACAUCCUUACUACAUCCAAUGGUUCAACAACAGCGGCAAGGUUAAGGUAACACGUACUGUUCGUGUGCAUUUUAGUAUCUCUACAUAUGCUGAUUAUGUUGAUUGUGAUGUGGUACCCAUGCAAGCAUGUUCCUUAUUACUUGGUAGACCAUGGCAAUUUGAUAAAAAUUCUGUACACCAUGGUAGAAACAAUCAGUAUACUCUUGUUCAUAAGGAUAAAAAUAUUACUUUGCUUCCUAUGACUCCUGAUUCCAUUUUGAAAGAUGACAUUAAUAGAGCUAAUAAAGCAAAACAGGAGAAAAAUAAGAGUGAAAAUCAGAUUGUGGCAAAAUAA
rnacentral:rRNA from 1 species